rnacentral:rRNA from 1 species
ACUCCUACGGGAGGCAGCAGUGGGGAAUAUUGCACAAUGGGGGAAACCCUGAUGCAGCCAUGCCGCGUGUGUGAAGAAGGCCUUGGGUUGUAAAGCACUUUCAGUAGGGAGGAAGGUAGUGUAGUUAACACCUGCAUUAUUUGUACGUUACCUACAGAAGAAGCACCGGCUAACUCCGUGCCAGCAGCCGCGGUAAUACGGAGGGUGCGAGCGUUAAUCGGAAUUACUGGGCGUAAAGCGCAUGCAGGCGGCCUGUUAAGUCAGAUGUGAAAGCCCGGGGCUUAACCUCGGAAUUGCAUUUGAAACUGGCAGGCUAGAGUCUUGUAGAGGGGUUAGAAUUUCAGGUGUAGCGGUGAAAUGCGUAGAGAUCUGAAGGAAUACCAGU